AUACGUAGGACCCGAGCGUUGUCCGGAUUUACUGGGUAUAAAGGGUGCGUAGGCAGUUUAUCAAGUCAGGGGUUAAAAGCCGCAGCUCAACUGCGGAGCUGCCCUUGAACCUGAUAGACUUGAAUGUGAGAGGGGCUGAUAGAAUUCCUGGUGUAGCGGUAAAAUGCGUAGAUAGCAGGAGGAAUACCGGGGGCGAAGGCGGACUCUAGCGCCGACGCUCAUGCGAAGGUGCGAAAGCGGGGGGAGAGAACUGAAUUAGAUGCGCAGGUAGUCCACGCCCUAAAUCAUGGAUAGUAGGUGUGGGUGGUAUCGACCCUUGCCGCGCCGGCGCUAACGCAGUAAGUUUCCCGCCUGGGGAGUUCGGCCGCAAGGCUAAAACUCAAAGGAAUUGACGG
rnacentral:rRNA from 1 species